UGUUGAAACACCAGUUCCCAAAUGAACACCAAAGUUAAGCAAUAUCAAGCUUGGUCAUUAUCUAAAUGGGUGACCACUUGGGAAUACCAGGUGCAGCAA